rfam:Kwoniella heveanensis BCC8398 unplaced genomic scaffold supercont1.54, whole genome shotgun sequence.
GGGGGUGUAGCGCAGUUGGUAGCGCGUCUCAUUUGCAAUGACGUAUCAAGCGGCUCAGUGCCCUUGAGAAGGUCCAGGGUUCAAUUCCCUGCGUCUCCA